rnacentral:rRNA from 1 species
UGGGGGUAACACAGGGAAACUUGUGCUAAUACCGCAUAAUAUGCUGUCUUUUAAGAGAGAGACAUCAAAGCCGGGGACCGCAAGGCCUGGCGCUUGAAGAGGGGCCCGCGCCUGAUUAGCUAGUUGGUGGGGUAAUGGCUCACCAAGGCAACGAUCAGUAUCCGGCCUGAGAGGGCGGACGGACACACUGGGACUGAGACACGGCCCAGACUCCUACGGGAGGCAGCAGUGGGGAAUUGUUCGCAAUGGGCGCAAGCCUGACGACGCAACGCCGCGUGGAGGAUGAAGAUCUUCGGGUCGUAAACUCCUUUCGAUCGAGACGAAUGGCCCUUGGGAUAAUACCCUGAGGGAGUGACGGUACCGAGAGAAGAAGCCCCGGCUAACUCCGUG